rnacentral:rRNA from 1 species
UUGAACGCUGGCGGCAUGCCUUACACAUGCAAGUCGAACGGUAGAGGGGCAACCCUUGAGAGUGGCGAACGGGUGAGUAAUAUAUCGGAACGUGCCCAGUCGUGGGGGAUAACGCAGCGAAAGCUGCGCUAAUACCGCAUACGAUCUAUGGAUGAAAGUGGGGAUCGCAAGACCUCGCGCGAUUGGAGCGGCCGAUAUCAGAUUAGGUAGUUGGUGGGGUAAAAGCCCACCAAGCCGACGAUCUGUAGCUG